rnacentral:lncRNA from 1 species
GUUUCGAAUCUUGCUGCACACAAAAUGUGGAGGGUGGGGAAUAGUCUACAGGGUCCACUCCUUGCGAGAUACCCCUAAAAAAAAAACCCGGAGAAGAAAAACGAUAAAAAAAAAAAUGGUUAUCAAAGUUUCUGAUUUUAGGCAGAUCUAAAACAACUAAUAGAAAAUUACAAUUUCCAACUAUCAAAGUCAUAUUAGAAACUUUCUAUUAGAAACUUUCUAUUAAUAUAUAAUUUUAUUCUGAACAUUAUUGUGCAACUUGUUGUUUGAUGUGUCAAUGUAGGCUUGAAUUGGUUGUAGUUACGUAUUAGGAUUACAAUAACAAGUAAGUGUAAUUACUAAUAUGAAGUACUAGUAUGGAUUUCUAAAAAACUUCCCAUUGCUUUUUCUUGUCUUUCCUUCAUAUUAAAUCAAGUAUUUUAAUAAUAAGGUUUUACUAUAUUUAUAUUUAUGUUCGACUACAUUGGUAAUUUCAUUGAAUAAUUCAAACAAUUAUUUAACAUGUCUGUUUCAUUUGAAACUUAAUUGAUAACCAAUUGAAAUGCCCUAAAAAGAAAAAGAAAAUUUAUUGUUCAAUCAACUUAAUUUACAUAUAGUUUUUUACAUGAAACAAGAAUAUUUAAUUGAGUGUUUAAUUAUCAAUAUUAGUGAGAAAAUGAUAAAACUUGUUAUGAAUUAAUUAUUAAUAUGAUUAGAUGUAUUUGAGACCAACCGUGCAAAAGAUAUAAACAUAUUAAGAAUUAGUAGUAUGAAUAAAUGAAAUAGAAAAAUGACAAAAAGAAGUUUAAAAGUUUAUUUAGCUUUUGCAUAUUUUUCAAUAUUAGAACUUCUAGUACAUAUACACAAUUUUAAUCCAAUUCCCAUCUAAUUUCAGCAUAAAGCACUUUGCAUCACUAUUUGAAAUUUAAAGGAACUACAUAGUUAUUCAAACUCUCAUCACAAUUACAAAGUCAAAAUAUUUAACGGAAAUUUGAUUUUGGACCAUUAGGGUUUGUUGAAUUUUCAUCAAUUUUCUUAAAUCUGCUCAAAUAUUGGGGAAUAAUUUGACACAUUUAUUUUAAGAAUCACAUUUAUUUUGGUCAAGUUACUAGGGACUAUUUAACACAUAGGGUUAGGGGUGCAAACGAGCCCAAUCAAAUCCAACACACUAAUAUUUAAACUUGUUUGAUUAUUUUAAUGAAAUUGAAAUUUUAUUCAAGUUUAACUUGUUUAUUUACUGAAUUGAGUUUGAAUGAGUUUUUUUUUUCAUCAAAUUUGAAUGUUAUCGAACAUAAAAUGCUGUUCAAUCUAGACUUGAUUAGUUAAUGAAUCAAAAUUGAAAAAUUUUUUCCAAACCAAAUUCGUUUCGAAUAUUAAAUAGUUUGGUUUAUCUUUCAAAUAUAAUAGAGCAUUUCUCCUAAAAGAAUACUGACACAUCUUUUAUACCAACUUCACAGAGGCUUUAACGGGCCAUUAUCAUGCCUUUGGCCUGGUUAGAGCCUCGGUACUUUUGUCUUGAUUAAUGGGCUAAAUUUUUUUCGAUCUAAUAGUUGCGCCUAGUCUUGAACUAAACUUGUCAUUGCCAGGAGCAGCGUUUGUCUUCUUGUUUACAUUGGUUAAGAGUUUGGUGCUAACUUUUGAGAAAUCACAUUUAUUACCUCAACCUAUUCCAAAAAUUUAACUUCUAGAAUUUGGCUUUAACUUCUAAUUUUGCUCUUCCAAAAAUUUCAUUAAACUUUCCUGCCCCCUUCCACCUAUUCCUUCUCUUUAAACUAAUUUUUGAUUGAUUAUUAUGGUACCUUCUGUUAUUACUUUUUUCGAUAGAGAAUUAAAUUAUUCUUUUAAUCAUAUGUAGCACCAUACUAUAAAUAUUUAAUUUUUGUAUUUUAACAUGUAGCAUUGCAUUAUAGGUGCAAUCUUUAUACUUUUCUUUUUCUUUCAUGCCUCGAGAAAUACUUUAUUUUAUUUAUUCGAUGAAUUUAUGUUUGUGAUAAUAAAUAUUAAAAUUUUUAGUUCUUAAUUAACAUUAAAAUACAAAAAAUUUGUACCAUAAAAUAACUUAAAUGUGGGUUUUUAUCUCUGAAUUCACUCUUCUCUAUCGCCAAAUUCUAGGUGUAGGAAGUUCAAUUACUAAAGACCCGCAAUUAACUUCUUCACUUCACAAUCAACCCAAGGGAUAUGAUCCCAACAUUCUAACCAUACGAGGCUAUGUUACGUAGUUACAUAUAAGAAACCCCAGUUUUUUUUUUUUACUGAACAUGAGAAUUAAGGGUAUUAAUGGGGUCUAUUGAGUUAGGCUUUGAAAACUAAGUUCAGCCCAAAUAAGAACCCAUUUUUGUAGGCCUAAGUAGGGAAUCGGACAAUGCUCAAAUUAGGCUGCUCUUUUCCAUUCACUAGUUUUUUUGAGCCUCGCGCGACGCGCGAGGUUGCCCCCAGUUUGUGUUAAUCAAAAUUAAUGAUGGCGAGUAAUUUAGUGUAAAACACUUGCAUACUUAAUAAUUAUGAUGUGAGAGAAUCCUUUUCCUGGUUUAUUAUGUCAUACUCAAUACACCAGGGUGGCUGAUAUAUGAAUUGAUAUCACCUGUUAUCCUCGUCAUUCACAUAUGUUAAAUGCACUUGUAGCCAUAAUACAUACACCUUGAUAUCUACCACAGUCAUGCUUAGCACUUGGACUGGCACGUUGCUCACAUCUCUUUCUAAUCCUUUCUUCAUAAGCUUUUUCUAAGCUUACAUAUUUUCAUCGGCUACCCAUUUAGAAAAGCUCAACUAUACAUAUGUAAAAAGGUUUCAGUAAGAAUGCAUAACCAACUAAAUUAUUAGCACAAACACAAUAAAUAAAUAAAUAAAUAAUAAUGUUUGUACCUCCAAUAUGCUAUCAAGAAUUAAUAACAUCCUUCAGUGAACCAUUGCGCUGAUUUGAACGCUGAUUUGAACGCUCUGACUCAUUAGGCCUUUCUUUACAAGGACAAAAUCACGAAAAGGCAAAAUAAAGCAAAGAGCUCACCUUGCAAAAUUAGGAAAGGGAGCUUUCAAUUGGAAGAAGAAGUUGGCCCCGAGACAAUGGUCCACACAAAUGGAGGCAAAAGUUCAUGUAAAGAACACAAAUCAAAGCAUGCACCACAUAAAUAGAGAAUCAUCCGAAACUCAAAUCAUCGGAAUAAAACAAGAGAUCUUAUUAGCCUUUGCUAACUUGGAAAUCUAAAAUCAAAACAUCAAAUCACCAAACAAAGGUGAGUAAGAAAACAGAACUUAAAAAAUAAAAAACAGAAUGAAAUAUGAACACAGAGCAGAAAUUAGCCGCUACAGAACAUUUAUAACCAAGAAGUGACCAGCCCUAUUCAAUAGCAUCAUCAUCCUAAUUCCCAAGUCAUACCCUUUGCUAAAAACUCUUUUAAGUCAUGCAUUUUCUAACUAUGAUUGUAUUGCUUUUGACUCUAAAGACAGUAAAUGUUCCAACUUGUCUAAGGCUACAAAAAUAUGUUAAUGAUGGUAAACUUGACUUAAAACAAAUACGUUCCCUCCAAUAUGAGUUCUCUCUAUCUUGGUUCUAAACGUGGUAAACUUGGUUUAAAACAAAUAAGCUCUCUCUAUCUGCAACCCUUAGAACACCUAGUUUAAGUAUGCAACAUUUUAUCUUAAUUAAAUUCAGAAAGUUGAAUAUGGCUUUAAGGCAUUUUACAAAUAGGUUUUGGGCACUAAUUAGGAUGGAGAAAAAUACUACAGAGAGUAAACAGAGCAGAAAUUAGCUGUUAUGGAACAUUUAUAACCAAGAGGUGACAAUCGCAACUGUAUUUGAUUGAAUUCAACUUUUCAUCCAUUCACAAUAUUCAUCAUUUUCCAUGAUUAAUGAUUCUAGAGAAUGAAAUGUUUGAAAUGAGAAUGAGUUCUUCAAUUGUUUAAGUUGCUCCUGAGAUGAGUAUGUGUUCUGUGUUUGUUUCAUGGAUACCCAAUUAAUUGGAGAACAAGAUUAGAUAACCCAAAAAAUGAAGAAACUUCACCGUGCUUUUCGGAUGACAAAAUUUUGCCACCACAAUAGUGGUGGCGAACUCUGCUCGGCAAACAAUAGCUCAUCCCUAUUCCUCGAACAAGACCCUGCCUCUCAUUUUUUUCUCUUUUUUUUUUGUUAAUUUGGUUUGAAGAGACAAAAUAUGCAAGGGAAAAAGAAAUCACGCAAAAGUGGGGAAAUCCAAUUGUUUUAAAUUCAAGAGUUAGCUACUUGCAUGAAAUUAUUAUUCUAAAUUCAAGAGUUAGCUACUUGCGUGAAAUUUCAUAAGUGACUUGGCACAAAAACUGCCUUCCUUUCCUGGAAAAAAAAAAAGAGAACCAAAAAUUAUACAUUUAACCCAUCAAUCAUGCUGAACGCUCAUCUGAAGUGGCCUGAAUUUAACAUCAAAGAAUCUUUGGAACUAAUUUCACUACCAUGGCAUAUUUCGACAAUCUAAGCUUGCUCAGACUCAAAAAAAAAAAGUAUAGCUAAUUGUCAAAAAAAAAUACAUCAUCUUUUCUUAGCUUUACAUUGCAUAAAUUCAGGGCUAACAAGUUCAUAUUGUUAGACCACCAUUCAUUUAUUGAAGUUAGGAAUAACACCUAGACCAACUGUAAUAACCUCUCAAUAUGUUUAGAAAAUCACCUAUAUUUUUCUUGUUACUUGGUUUUGGAUAGAAAAGUUAGUUGUAAUGCCUCUGGAAUACAAAUACCUUAAUGUAAUUCCUUUAUAAUAGUUUGUCUGUUGACAACCUAAUUAAACUCAUUCAAAAAAAAAAUUGAACUUGCAAAUUUGGUGUUCAACACCUUUUAAUUUGAUUAGUUUCCUGCGUAAUUUCUAAUGUUUUAAAUCUCAAAUAUAGAAAAUGAAUUGGAUAUAUUCAUAGGCUAGAUUACAAACUACAUUAGCUAAACCCACAAAGUAAAAUAGGAAAAGGAUAAAACACAUACACACACACAAACACAAAGUGAAACAGAAAGUAUGAAAUGCCUGGCCGUGUCUUACUCUUACACAAGGAAAAUUAAAGAAAGAAAAAGAGAAAAAUAGCAUCCAAUUGGCCUUCCAUUUAUUCCUUUCUGUUCUGUAGUUUUUUUGGUUCUUUUUGGAAACUUAUUAGUUUAUAAUGGAUUAAACUAUACAGAUAUUAUAAUAAGAAAAGGUUAUAGGAACUGCAAAACCUGUUAGGUGCGGUUUAUGAGAAGAAAAAUCAAUUGCUCCAAUACAUUAUAAAUGAGGUGUUAAAAAAAAUGACAAAUUAAUGCUCCACCAGUUUUGAUAUCAAAGAAGUUGUUGCUCAAUAUAAACGUCUACAUCUGGCUACGUCAAUUUUGCAACAGUUUGCCAACUUGUUACAAAAGAUUUGAAAGGUAUUUUAUUUUCAACAGAAUCUAAAACCAAAUGAAUAUUUCGAAGUGGUUAAACAAAAUGCUCAUGGGUUUGGUUGCCAAUUCAUGUACUAAUCACAAAUCAAGAACUACUUGGUUUCUAUCCAAGUGGACAUUUUCAUUGGCUUGGGUAUUAAGCAUCGAAAGUCUCUUACUUAUUUUCUUUAUUCAUAACCGUUGACAAUGACACCAGUUUUUUCGCUCUGCAAUUUUCAAAUUUACGUGAACCAUAUAAUGUACUAUGUAAACACAGGAAGGGAACCAUAAUGUCAUAACAAAUUACAAAAAACAAAAAAACAAGCAAAUACCAUAUCACAAUCGAAACAUGCAUUGAUGAAAUUACAUUAAACCAAUCCAAAACAUCAAACAAUUUUCUGAAACGGAGAAAAACUAACACACAAUAAUUGUAGAUGUUAAAUGAGGACAUAUAGCGAAUAUAUGGUGUGCACGUCAAAUAAGUUUGAAUGACCUGUCUAAAAAUACAGCCCUUAAUCAUAAAACAAAAGACAUCAGCACAACAAACAAAUCACAUCAAUGCGACUUUCAAUUAUGAUCAGCAAAUUGAUAAACUCAAAACCGAUAAGCUAAUAGACAUAGAGUGAAAAGUUCACCUUUCAAAACCAUCGAAACUUCACAAUGCUCUUCUGGUGAAGAAAUUCAACGACAAUGGCUAUGGCAGUGGCGGUGGUGGAUUCCGGUCAACAGGCAAUGACUCCUCCGUGCUCCUCGGACUCCCUUUUUUGUGGCUUUGCUAUUACUUUCCCCUUCUUCUCUAUUUCUUGUUUGCUUGUAAUGGGAUGGAGUUAGAAAACUUGUAUGCGUUUUUAGUGAUGUGCAUCAAUGAUUCUUGGAGAUGAAAUCUUUGAGAUAACAGUAGUGGCUUCUUCAUAAUUUUAGCAGUUAAAAAACAAUAAACUGCUGCAUUAGUUAACCCAAACUGAAAGAAAACAUGCGUCAAAAAUGAAUGGUAACGAGGUUUCUACCAACCGCUUCCUACCCCUCCAAGAAGUACUCCUGUCCAACUAACAAAACCAAAUGCCCUCAAAGAACAACAAUGAAGGACUCACUCUUGCAGCUACCAAAGAACGCUG